GCGUGCACGGCGUAACAUUACCGCCACUCAAACCGAAUUCUUCUCAAGCUCCUCCUUCCGUCCUUCUUCUUCCUUCCCUCGUCGUCGGUGGAUACCCAAAGGUCAACACUUUGUUCCUUCGAAUUUGGUUCGGAGAAGUAAUCCGGUACAGCACGACCAUGAAGAUUGUCCGGAAGGACUAUAUUCCCGGCGGACCCGGCAGCGUUAAGAUGAUACCGGUAGAAUCAGAUGAUUUGUGGUAUGCUUAUAAUUUGAUUGCUCCGGGAGACACAGUCAUGGCUGUCACUGUUAGGAAAGUUCUAAGAGAAGCGGCUGCUGGUGGAAGAGAUGCAGAGCGCGUGAAGCUGAAGUUAGAAAUAAAAGUCGAGGAGGUUGCUGAUUAUGACAAAGUAGGAGCUGUCUUGCGUAUACGUGGGAAGAAUAUCCUGGAGAAUGAAUAUGUAAAGAUAGGAGCAUUUCACACUUUGGAGCUUGAGCUGCACCGACCUUUUGUCUUAAGAAAGGAUGUCUGGGACUCAUUGGCCUUGCACGAACUCCAUCAAGCCUCCAAUCCGAGUGCAAGUGCUGAUCUAGCUGUGGUUUUAAUGCAAGAAGGAUUAGCACAUAUUCUCCUUAUUGGUAAAAGUAUGACAAUUACUCGUUCGCGAAUAGAAACUUCAAUUCCUCGCAAGCACGGACCUGGGAUUGCAGGUUAUGAGUCGGCUUUGAAUAAGUUCUUUGAGAACGUGUUACAGGCAUUCUUGAAGCACGUUGAUUUCAGUGUUGUUCGCUGUGCUGUGAUUGCAAGUCCAGGUUUCACAAAGGAUCAGUUUCAUCGUCACCUAUUAUUGGAAGCAGAAAGAAAACAGCUGAGAACUAUUAUUGAGAACAAGUCGCGGAUUAUUCUUGUGCACACAAGCUCAGGUUACAAGCAUAGCUUAAGGGAGGUUCUAGAUGCUCCAAAUGUGAUGAAUAUGAUAAAAGAUACUCAAGCGGCGCAAGAGGUUCGAGUUCUCCAAGAUUUCUUUGGCAUGCUUUCAAAUGAUCCGGAUCGUGCAUGCUAUGGACCGAAGCAUGUUGAAGUUGCUCAUGAUCGAAUGGCUGUCCAAACCCUUUUGAUAACGGAUGAACUCUUCAGGAAUGCCGAUGUAGUAGCGAGGCAAAGGUAUGCCAAUUUGGUGAAGUCAGUGAAGGAUUCAGGGGGCACCGUUCAUAUCUUUUCUUCUUUGCAUGUUUCGGGAGAACAACUGGCGCAGAUAACUGGCAUUGCUGCAAUCCUUCGUUUCUGUUGGAACCAAGAAGUAUGGACAUUGAAUAUUGUAUAAUAAACUCAAGCACAUGCAGCACGGGCAGCAUAUAUUCUUGUUCUGUCAGCUUUCUAUCUCCACAUCAUGUGUGGUCUUCGACAAAGACAAGCACGGGCAGCAUGGAGAAGGUUAUGGAGCUGUUAGUAUUAUAAGUCCUCUCAGUUUUUUAUCUUUGUGUUGUCCCAAGAGUUUUGUAUAGGGAUGGGUGGUUGUAACCGGUUCUUUACUACUCAUAUAUAUGAGUUAGUUGUUAACUCUUAAUAUAUACGAAAGACAUAUAUUUUUGAACAUAAAAA